UGCGAGGAUCUUAAAGUAUGAGGCGGGCUGGACCUCUCAGGGUUAAGCCUUGCUGAAUUAUUCACCCUUGUCUUUUGCGUACUUCUUGUUUCCUUGGUGGGUUCCCCCACCACUACGACAAACAUAAACCUUUUGUAAUUGCAAUCUUGAUGGUACACAAAUUAAUAAUUACAACUUGCCCUUUGGAUCUCUUGGGUCUGGCUGCGAUUAAAAACACACCAAAAUGCGAUAAGUUCUGUGAAUUGCAGAAUUCUCGAAUCAUCGAAUCUUUGAACGCACAUUGCGCCCUUUGGUAUUCCAAAGGGCAUGCCUGUUCAAGCGUCAUUUGUACCCUCAAGAUUUGCUUGGUGUUGGGCGUCUUGUCUCCUACUUUUGGGGAAACCCACCUUAGAAAAAUUGGCAACCGGCCUAAUGGUGUCGAAUCGCACCACAAGGCUGACACUCCAACAGGUAACGUCUAGCAUCCAUUAAUCCGUUUUGAUACCUUUUGACGUUCGAUCACGUAGAGAUACCUACUGAACUUAAGCAUAUCAAUUGACCGGAGGAA
rnacentral:sRNA from 1 species